UCUCUGUUAGUAUAUCGGUUAGUACACGCGCCUGUCACGCGCGAAAAGCUGGGUUCGACUCCCAGACAGAGAG
rnacentral:tRNA from 1 species